GUUUUGCCUUCCCGCAACUUUAAGAUCAAGGCGGAAUAUCUACCGGGGAUCAACAACCUCACGGCAGACCAGUUCUCCCGUCACUGAUGAGACGGCAGCGACUGGCGUCUGGUCACAUUAGUAUUCUCUUUGGUGAGAGCACACAGCACCAUUGGGGAGAAGUCCAGCAUCGUUCCAGGACUUGUUGACCCUAGCUCAGGAUCACCUUCUGCUCCUCCCAUCAUUUCCUCUUCUUCUGACAGACCCGAAAGGGAACCGCAUCCACUGAUCCUACAGGAACACCUGGAGUUAGUGGCCUGGAGUCUUUCAGGGGUACUUGGACCGUCGAGGGACUAUCACAGCCAACUAGAGACCUAUUAUGGGACUCAUGGGCACCAGGUACACGACAGAGUCACAUAUCAGCAUGGAAUAUUUGGAGGUGCUGGUGUAUGAGAAGGGAUUUUGAUCCCUUUACAGUACCUAUUACCACGAUGAAUUUCUUAUCUCACCUUUUCACGAAAGACCGAUCGUUACGGUCCAUUAACGUUACACGUUCUGCGAUUUUCGGCCAAACUCACAUUACUUUUAUAUCUAGUAUCCUUUUAGACAAGUUUCGGACAUUUGGCAUUCGACGAGGAUGGUUUCUCGAUUUCCCGGGAGGAGCGACCUUCAUGGUGUCCCAUAGAACUAAAACGGAGUCUAAAUCCGUGUCUUAGCUCUUUUUUCCUACGGUACCCAUCUGGGUGUAGUGAUCGCUCUUACUUGAUAUGGGGAGGUCACUACAACCCUUAUUUUUUCACGAUGCGUAUAACUUAUGGUCUCUUAUAUCAAACCUUGCAUAUCAGUUGCCACUACCACUCUGGCUAGAUUGGUUUUGUUGAUUUUUAUCUCUGCUCGGGGGAGACAUGUUUUGGGGCUCACUCAGGUCGAAGCACCGCCGCUUUUCGGGCGCUCUCAGCGGGAAUUUUUUCUAUCCGAUAUUAUACGUUCGGCAAAUAAGACGCGGGAAGACACUUUCUGCAUAUUUUACUUUUCGUCAGACUACAC